CCCCCAGCCACACCUCACCCACGCUAAGACCAGUGCAGAGGAUGAUAUGAAGCGACUGAGUCCAGACAGCCCCUCAAACACAGACGGCACAAGGCCAAGGACAAGUCCUCCUCAGGCCAGCCCCCUACCCGUCGAUCACUCCACCGGACCCUGUCUGAUGAGAGUAUCUACCGGGGCCAGCGUGUCCCCUCUCUGAGGCUUGGGGACCUAGAACCAGACCCCAGCCUGGCUAGUGAUGUGCUGUUCAGCUGCUCCACGUUGCCACGUUCUCCCACCACCCGCGGGGUGCCUCUCAGACGGCCUUCGUACAAACUGGGGAUCAAACUCCACGGUGACCUGUCUGCAUCUGACACGUCAUUGGCUGAGAUGGUUGAGCGUCAGCGCCACCCCUCCCCC